rnacentral:lncRNA from 1 species
CAAGAAGUAUCAAUUAUGCAUACAUGUCAAGAAAAUAAUUAUCAAUUAAAAUCCAGCCAAUGGAAAAUUAAUUAAAAAUCACAAUAAAAUAGAGGACAUAUUCAUGAACAUGAUGGAAAAAAUUGCAUGAUUUUUGGAUAAAAAUUGAAAGAGAAAUUAAUUUGUGAAGUUGAGUGAUAUUUGGAUGCAAUAUGAACAAAUGGCAUAGCAAAGUGGUCAACAUAGUCAACAGCGUGGCAGUUUUGUAAAUCAG